rnacentral:rRNA from 1 species
ACCUACGGGGCGCAGCAGUGAGGAAUAUUGGUCAAUGGGCGGGAGCCUGAACCAGCCAAGCCGCGUGAGGGAAGAAGGUACAGCGUAUCGUAAACCUCUUUUGUCAGGGAACAAAGGCGGGGACUAGUCCCCGGAUGAGGGUACCUGAAGAAAAAGCAUCGGCUAACUCCGUGCCAGCAGCCGCGGUAAUACGGAGGAUGCGAGCGUUAUCCGGAUUUAUUGGGUUUAAAGGGUGCGCAGGCGGCCUGUUAAGUCAGCGGUAAAAGCCCGGGGCUCAACCCCGGCGCGCUGUUGAAACUGGCGGG